UAGCUUUGUCCUAAGUCAAACUUCUCAAAGUUUGACCAAGUUUAGAGAGAAAUGUACUAAUAUCUACAAUAUCAACUAAGUAUACUAUGAAGAUAAAUAUCAUGACGGAUUUAAUAAAACCAAUUUAGGGUUGUAGAUGUUGGUAGAAUUUUCUAUAAACUUUGUCAAACUUUAGGAAGUUUGACUAGGACAAAGCUAG
rnacentral:pre_miRNA from 1 species